rnacentral:misc_RNA from 3 species
AACGCACCUUGCGCUCCUUGGUAUUCCGAGGAGCAUGCCUGUUUGAGUGUCAUUAAUAUAUAUCAACCACUCUUCUUGAGUGGCUUGGAUGUGGGGGGUUUGCUGGCCUGUUCAGCUCCCCUGAAAUGCAUUAGCGGAACGACCUGUUCAUUCAUUGGUGUGAUAACUAUCUACGCUAUUGAGUGCGAGGCGGUUCAGCUUCCUAACGGUCCUCGGACAGUUUUUAUCAUUUUAUGUGACCUCAAAUCAGGUAGGACUACCCGCUGAACUUAA